rnacentral:rRNA from 1 species
UACGAAGGGGGGCUAGCGUUGCUCGGAAUUACUGGGCGUAAAGGGCGCGUAGGCGGAUAGUUUAGUCAGAGGUAAAAGCCCAGGGCUCAACCUUGGAACUGCCUUUGAUACUGGCUAUCUUGAGUUCGGGAGAGGUGAGUGGAAUGCCGAGUGUAGAGGUGAAAUUCGUAGAUAUUCGGCGGAACACCAGUGGGCGAAGGCGGUCUCU